rnacentral:rRNA from 1 species
GAUGAACGCUGGCGGCGUGCCUAAUACAUGCAAGUCGAGCGAACGGACGAGAAGCUUGCUUCUCUGAUGUUGGCGGCGGACGGGUGAGUAACACGUGGAUAACCUACCUAUAAGACUGGGAUAACUUCGGGAAACCGGAGCUAAUACCGGAUAAUAUUUUGAACCGCAUGGUUCAAAAGUGAAAGACGGUCUUGCUGUCACUUAUAGAUGGAUCCGCGCUGCAUUAGCUAGUUGGUAAGGUAACGGCUUACCAAGGCAACGAUGCAUAGCCGACCUGAGAGGGUGAUCGGCCACACUGGAACUGAGACACGGUCCAGACUCCUACGGGAGGCAGCAGUAGGGAAUCUUCCGCAAUGGGCGAAAGCCUGACGGAGCAACGCCGCGUGAGUGAUGAAGGUCUUCGGAUCGUAAAACUCUGUUAUUAGGGAAGAACAUAUGUGUAAGUAACUGUGCACAUCUUGACGGUACCUAAUCAGAAAGCCACGGCUAACUACGUGCCAGCAGCCGCGGUAAUACGUAGGUGGCAAGCGUUAUCCGGAAUUAUUGGGCGUAAAGCGCGCGUAGGCGGUUUUUUAAGUCUGAUGUGAAAGCCCACGGCUCAACCGUGGAGGGUCAUUGGAAACUGGAAAACUUGAGUGCAGAAGAGGAAAGUGGAACUCCAUGUGUAGCGGUGAAAUGCGCAGAGAUAUGGAGGAACACCAGUGGCGAAGGCGACUUUCUGGUCUGUAACUGACGCUGAUGUGCGAAAGCGUGGGGAUCAAACAGGAUUAGAUACCCUGGUAGUCCACGCCGUAAACGAUGAGUGCUAAGUGUUAGGGGGUUUCCGCCCCUUAGUGCUGCAGCUAACGCAUUAAGCACUCCGCCUGGGGAGUACGACCGCAAGGUUGAAACUCAAAGGAAUUGACGGGGACCCGCACAAGCGGUGGAGCAUGUGGUUUAAUUCGAAGCAACGCGAAGAACCUUACCAAAUCUUGACAUCCUUUGACAACUCUAGAGAUAGAGCUUUCCCCUUCGGGGGACAAAGUGACAGGUGGUGCAUGGUUGUCGUCAGCUCGUGUCGUGAGAUGUUGGGUUAAGUCCCGCAACGAGCGCAACCCUUAAGCUUAGUUGCCAUCAUUAAGUUGGGCACUCUAAGUUGACUGCCGGUGACAAACCGGAGGAAGGUGGGGAUGACGUCAAAUCAUCAUGCCCCUUAUGAUUUGGGCUACACACGUGCUACAAUGGACAAUACAAAGGGCAGCGAAACCGCGAGGUCAAGCAAAUCCCAUAAAGUUGUUCUCAGUUCGGAUUGUAGUCUGCAACUCGACUACAUGAAGCUGGAAUCGCUAGUAAUCGUAGAUCAGCAUGCUACGGUGAAUACGUUCCCGGGUCU